AUUGAACGCUGGCGGCAUGCUUUACACAUGCAAGUCGAACGGCAGCGCGGGGCAACCUGGCGGCGAGUGGCGAACGGGUGAGUAAUACAUCGGAACGUACCCAGAAGUGGGGGAUAACGUAGCGAAAGUUACGCUAAUACCGCAUACGUUCUACGGAAGAAAGUGGGGGACCUUCGGGCCUCAUGCUUUUGGAGCGGCCGAUGUCUGAUUAGCUAGUUGGUGAGGUAAAGGCUCACCAAGGCGACGAUCAGUAGCUGGUCUGAGAGGACGACCAGCCACACUGGGACUGAGACACGGCCCAGACUCCUACGGGAGGCAGCAGUGGGGAAUUUUGGACAAUGGGCGCAAGCCUGAUCCAGCAAUGCCGCGUGAGUGAAGAAGGCCUUCGGGUUGUAAAGCUCUUUUGUCAGGGAAGAAACGGCUGGGGUUAAUACCUUCGGCUAAUGACGGUACCUGAAGAAUAAGCACCGGCUAACUACGUGCCAGCCGCCGCAGUAA
rnacentral:rRNA from 1 species